CCUUUCAAUUGUUAAAGCAGGUAUAUACGUAUAUACAUGUAUAACCAUGUGCACACUUUACUAGGUGGACUGUGAUUUAAACAGGGGAUAUUGCAUGCAGGUGUGUGUACACACGUUUUAUAAGUAUGAUUUUUUUAUUCUUUUAUUUGUGCUUUUGUGCGCACGUACAAUUUUAGUAUAGAUCCCACGCACUGUUUUAUAAAUGAUAUGUGAUUUGUUUAUAUUCACAAUUUAUUCCCAAAAAAAUGUACAGUAAGAUGAGGUAUAAAAAUGAGCAAAACGAAACAUCUUGCUGCUCAUUUCUGACACACUUCCAUUGUGAACAACGGCGGCGACACGACACAGCUGCAUCACAGCUGUGACACAACCAAUCUGCAUUCUGGGUAAUGCCCACCCACCCACAGCUGGCAUUCUUUACUUUAAAGUACAUUAUUCACAAGUUUACUUUCCCUUGAGGUAAACAAAACACACUCCACUUGCACUCACUGUUUUGUGUGGUGACAAGGAACAAAACCUGACAGCAGAGAGUGUGUGCCACCAAAUAGCAUUGAAAUGGAAAAAUUAUGGAAAUAACAAAGACGCACACAAAUAAACACGUCAUGUCCUGUCAUUUGACAGGCUGGUUAUGGUUUAACUGAGUCUAUUAAGGAGUGUAGCUAUAGAGGCCUACUAAGGAUAAGCUAUCAACAUGCAGUACUACACUGCGCUUUCUGUCAGACAAUAAAAUGAGAUGAUGUAGAAUUCCAUUAUGCAUAUAGUCUUGUGGGUGUCCAUCACAUUUUACUGCUAUAAAAAGGGUGACUUGUGCAGUUAGAGAAGAGGACAAGGACUGGAAAUCUGCCAAGUUAUUUGUUUAUGAGUAUCUUUGGCUCAAAUGGAGUGUAACAAACUGCUUAAAUAAAUGCCAAUUGUGGAAAUAGAGAAAACCAACUGAGAAAAGGGUAAUCUGACAAGCAGAGCGCGAGCUAAAUGGAAUAUUAUCUGAGAAAUUACUGAAGGGGUAAAUACAGGACAAUGUCAGUUUCUACAUGAGCGCACUUUAAAAUUAUCGCCCAGUUACUGGUAACUUCCUGAGAUGAUACACAGUGGGAUCUCUGAUUAUGUACAAUCUUUGGUCUGUUCUCAAACUUGUCCCCUGCUGACCAUUGUGCGCUAUUUCUAACUGUGAACUAAUCAAAUCAAAGCAGAACAGCGGCUCUAUGCCAGUGGCUUCUGGUCAAACCGACUUCAUACAAAGCAGCACAAAGCAGUGUGUCAGCUUCUGUGACAUCUUCCUGGUGUUUCUCGGCUUCCUGUGUAGUUCAAUAGCAGAAAAAGUUAUUUGAAACUUCAACAUUACUCCUGCUGACAGCAAGGUAUGAGGCCGCCAAAUAAUACAAAGAAGAAGAAAAGAUCUAUUGGGGGAAUUAACUGGGCACAUUUUAAACUAAAGCCAUUAAAUCUCUUUUUAUCUGUUCACUAAAUGUGUUCCGACAUUACAGAUAUCAUAGAAAAUGGCUUGAGUGGCAUAACUCUUUGUGAAACAUAUUUAGUAUUCGCUUUGGCUUUGUCUUUUGUACUUUGUUUACCUGGGCUGCUCUCACCAUCCAGCUGAUUUGAAGCCUUGUGUUAAUUUUAAUCAGUAACCAGAUGAAAAAGGUCUAGCCAGUAGCCAUGGGGUGGAGGUUCAUUAUCUCUGGCCUUUGUGCCAGAGAGCCCUCGCGGGAUUUCAGUGGCACAGAGAAGUCAAAGAAACCACGUGUGCCAUGAGAACAUUGCCAAAGAGGUUCAAAGGAAGAGCAGAAUAGAAUAUAACAGAAUAGAAGUAGAAAAGGGACGUGGUUUCACUUUAUCUCAAGAAUAAGGAAUAGAGUGAUACGAUUCAUAUGUGCAUAUCGUGUGUAAUAAAGGCCAGCUGUGAGUGGUAUUCCAUCCAUUCAGUUACAAUGAGUCAUAUCUCCUGUAUUUCUCGCUCUCCAAUUAACAUUCAGUCUAACCUACAGGGCAGCGCCACAUGUCAGCACAGCGGGGACGCUCUCUUUUCCCAUGUGACAUGGGUCACUGCAGUUGGUCUCACCAGUGUCAUGUGAGGUGGGUGACAGGUAAUUACGGCUUUGCACUCAUUUCCCCUGGUGCUCAACAGGCUUGACAUCCCAUGAACCAGACUCCAUGGUACCAAAGUCACUGCAACAGCAGCUAACGAUGCUAACGGCGCUAACAGUGAAGACUACGGCAACACUGCUGACAGAGCUAACAGUGUUAACUUGAGGGGGAACCGGAGGGUGGGUGCUACGCUUCCACAACCGCGACGUCAAUCGGGAUGGCGUUAUCGGCUGUAACCGACAUAUGAGCGCAGUGCAGAGCGGCAGCCAUGAGCUAACCAGUGGGAACAAACCUGCACCAACAUGCACUAAAAGCAUGCGCGGACGGCAUGUCAACGACUAUGUCAACAAAGCACAGAGAAUCUGGGAUUACAAUACACAGAGGUGUUGCAGACUUCAUUCUCUGCUCAAAGUGACUUCAUUCUCUGCUCAGGUAGACAUUACUCCACUAUAUCUCUACAUAUUAAAUAGGUGUUUGCUGCUAUAUUAAUGCUCUGGAUAUCGUAUAAAGCACCUUUAAGAUUUACAUUAUUUUACAUUGUUUACUUUAUUAAUAUGACUGUACAGUGUAUGCAUGUGAGUGUAUGACUGCAUGUGGUACAACAAGACUCGGUCAAAACGGAGUAUAUUGUAAGACCAUGUAUGGUCAGUCUGUGAAUUUGGGGCUAAAUAGUUACACAAAUAGUCAGUGGUCAUGUCUAUCAUGUUAAAUCCAGAACUACAUGUUCACCCGGUUCGGCGAGGACACGAGGGGAUGCGUUGCUUCACUCAAUUGGCCGUUCAAGCAUUGACGUACUCUAUCGUGGAAAGCACCUGAUUGGUCCCUGGUUUUCUGUUUGCCGUUUCAAACAGGAAACAACAUGGCGGCCUGCUCAUAAACUUUGUUAUUCCGUCUUAACAAUCCACCUUCUGAAAAUCUACAAAAUCUACUUCUGAAAACAGUUUAAGAGAGAAAUAGGCUAUGCCAUUGCUGAAUCUCGUUUCAUUUUUGAAUUAGAUCGCCUAGUUUGACAGUUUGGUCCAAGUUUCAGUAGCCGGACGCGUUGUGCUGGGCGGGCUCAUUUGCAUAAAGUUGAGAUUUUUCAACUUUAUGCAAGAUCCUCUCCAACUCGCCGCAAUACUCCAACCAUGCACUGGGUGACUGCUUCUCCGGCUUUCCAUAGGAAAUGAAUGGAAGCAACGAGGCGAAGCCCUGCUAACUGCCGGAGGAGGAGACGUUUUUGCCAGGCGCGUACUGUAGCUCUCUACCUCCUGCCGAAGCUCUGACUGCCAGAAGCCGGAUCUGUCCGCAGGCCGCGCUGAAGUGAGCUGAAGGAUUUUCUAGUGAACCUGUAUAAUAUCGCCGAAAUCUGACCCAGUGACCAAAAAUAACAGCCAAUCUUUUCACUGAUUUGUCUCCGUUUCAACCAGUUAAAAUCACGCAAUGUGGUCUCGGGCCUCCCGAGUCGCUUGAUGUUGCUUCAUCGAGCCACAUCCCCACAUUCAACAAUAUCUCAAAAAGACUGACAAACUCCUGUCAGGUUUGAAGAGUGCCAUCAUUAAUAUCAUACUGCCACGGGUCAUAAAGCAUUCCAUGUCACCGUGAUAAAGGUCCCAGCCCUGGCCUGGGAAGAGAGAGAUGAUAACCUAGCUGGAUAGAAUGGCUUUAAAUUAAACUGUCUGAAUUAGUUCAGUGCACACUAGCUAAUUUUAUACUCUAACGUGAGUCACGGUAUAUACAACAUAUUCUCUCCUUGUCACUUUGUUCUCUCCCUAUUGUUAGGAUAUUUGAGAGAUUUUGCUCUGAAGCCCUUUCCCACUAACAGGGGUGGCUGAAAGAUCCCACCUUAUUAAAAAAUGAUUGGCAUAAAUUACCGACAUGAGAGAAAUGUAGAAAUUAAGUGAGUAAGAUUUGAUAAAUCUUACUAAAUUAUCUUAUUUCAUGAAUACAUUGAGUUGAGCUUAAUGGUACUAAAUGCGAGAUUGGGAGCAUUUCUCUUGCCUCCGCACGACUCUCAACAUGGCAACGGCUCGCAGCUAACGGUUCAAACAGUGGAAACAACGGCAACGGCGCCGACAGUGGGUAAUACGCU